rnacentral:rRNA from 1 species
GACGAACGCUGGCGGCGUGUCUAAUACAUGCAAGUCGAACGCAGUGGGGACGGGGGAGUAACACGUGGGUAACCUCCCAUCAGAGGGGAUAAAACUUGGAAACAGGUGCUAAACCGAUACUGAUGGACGGACCCGCGGUGCAUUAGCUAGUUGGUGAGGUAACGGCCCACCAAGGCCACGAUGCAUAGCCGACCUGAGGGGGUGAUCGGCAAUACGGGGACUGAGGCUCGGCCCAGCCUCCUACGGGAGGCAGCAGUAGGUAAUCGUCGGCAAUGGACGAUAGUCUGACCGAGAAACGCCGCGUGUGUGAAGAAGGUUUUCGCAUCGUAAAACUCUGUUGUUAGAGAAGCGGUAGUUAACCAGAAAGCCAAGGCUAUCUACGUGCCAGCAGCCGCUGUAAA